UACGUAGGGCGCAAGCGUUGUCCGGAAUUAUUGGGCGUAAAGAGCGUGUAGGCGGUCAGGUAGGUCCGUUGUGAAAACUCGAGGCUCAACCUCGAGACGCCGAUGGAAACCAUCUGACUAGAGUCCGGAAGAGGAGAGUGGAAUUCCCGGUGUAGCGGUGAAAUGCGCAGAUAUCAGGAAGAACACCCGUGGCUAAGGCGGCUCUCUAGUACGGUACUGACGCUGAGACGCGAAAGCGUGGGGAGCGAACAGG
rnacentral:rRNA from 1 species